GAGUGAGUCCUCAGGGUGGAUUAGAGUUGAGUCCCCGUCCGCUCACUCUUACAUAAGCCUCAUACCGGCCCAUUAGUACUACGGUGGGUGACCACGUGGGAAUCCGGCGCUGCUGUACGUU
rnacentral:rRNA from 1 species